CUCAGCAGAACAAAGGGCCAGCCGGAGCGGCGGCCACCCAGAGCUGUCUACAUACACGGCAAGAUGCUAACUCCAAAGGCAGCACCUGGGAAAAGGGAGCAGAGAGACGUCUCUGGGCUCACACAGCCUGAAGCUCCGAGACCAGCCCUGUGGUCGACGUCCGUGCUUGUAUGUUGGUACCGAAGUGGGGAGGUUUCAGACAAUGAGUGAGCCUCUGUCCACAUGCCUCAUGUUCCCGGGUGAAGAUGCCACCUUUCCUUCAUGUCGGAGGGACAGAACAAUGGGGAACUGGCGCGUGGGUCACCUCCAGACACACACCCUCCCCCCAUCAGUGACAGGAGGGAGACCCCAUGUCCCCGGUGCUAAGUUGCUCCGUGUUCAGGAUGUUCUCGGGGCCGGCCGUGGACGUGCCAUAAAUAUUCAUGCCUGGAAAAAAAAAAAUCAAGGCGCUG